rnacentral:rRNA from 1 species
UUCAGAUUGCAGGCUGCAACUCGCCUGCAUGAAGUCGGAAUUGCUAGUAAUCGCAGAUCAGCAUGCUGCGGUGAAUACGUUCCCGGGCCUUGUACACACCGCCCGUCACACCAUGGGAGUCGGUAACACCCGAAGUCGGUAGCCUAACCGUAAGGAGGGCGCCGCCGAAGGUGGGAUUGAUGACUGGGGUGAAGUCGUAACAAGGUAAC